rnacentral:rRNA from 1 species
AACGAACGCUGGCGGCAGGCUUAACACAUGCAAGUCGAGCGCGUAGCAAUACGAGCGGCAGACGGGUGAGUAACGCGUGGGAACGUACCCUUUACUACGGAAUAGCUCUGGGAAACUGGAAUUAAUACCGUAUGUGCCCUUUGGGGGAAAGAUUUAUCGGUAAAGGAUCGGCCCGCGUUGGAUUAGCUAGUUGGUGGGGUAAAGGCCUACCAAGGCGACGAUCCAUAGCUGGUCUGAGAGGAUGAUCAGCCACAUUGGGACUGAGACACGGCCCACACUCCUACGGGAGGCAGCAGUGGGGAAUAUUGGACAAUGGGCGCAAGCCUGAUCCAGCCAUGCCGCGUGAGUGAUGAAGGCCUUAGGGUUGUAAAGCUCUUUCACCGGAGAAGAUAAUGACGGUAUCCGGAGAAGAAGCCCCGGCUAACUCCGUGCCAGCCGCCGCCGUAAGAC